UGGGGAAUAUUGCACAAUGGGCGCAAGCCUGAUGCAGCCAUGCCGCGUGUGUGAAGAAGGCCUUCGGGUUGUAAAGCACUUUCAGCGGGGAGGAAGGCGGUGAGGUUAAUAACCUCAUCGAUUGACGUUACCCGCAGAAGAAGCACCGGCUAACUCCGUGCCAGCAGCCGCGGUAAUACGGAGGGUGCAAGCGUUAAUCGGAAUUACUGGGCGUAAAGCGCACGCAGGCGGUCUGUCAAGUCGGAUGUGAAAUCCCCGGGCUCAACCUGGGAACUGCAUUCGAAACUGGCAGGCUAGAGUCUUGUAGAGGGGGGUAGAAUUCCAGGUGUAGCGGUGAAAUGCGUAGAGGUCUGGAGGAAUACCGGUGGCGAAGGCGGCCCCCUGGACAAAGACUGACGCUCAGGUGCGAAAGCGUGGGGAGCAAACAGG
rnacentral:rRNA from 1 species